UACGUAGGGUGCGAGCGUUGUCCGGAAUUACUGGGCGUAAAGAGCUCGUAGGUGGUUUGUCGCGUUGUUCGUGAAAACUUACAGCUUAACUGUGGGCGUGCGGGCGAUACGGGCAGACUGGAGUACUGCAGGGGGAGACUGGAAUUCCUGGUGUAGCGGUGGAAUGCGCAGAUAUCAGGAGGAACACCGGUGGCGAAGGCGGGUCUCUGGGCAGUAACUGACGCUGAGGAGCGAAAGCGUGGGGAGCGAACAGG
rnacentral:rRNA from 1 species